rnacentral:rRNA from 1 species
CGUUCGGGAACCACCUGAUCCCAUGCCGAACUCAGCAGUGAAACCGCUCAGCGCCGAUGGUAGUGUGGGGUCUCCCCAUGCGAGAGUAGGUCAUCGUCA